rnacentral:rRNA from 1 species
AGCGAACGCUGGCGGCAGGCUUAACACAUGCAAGUCGAGCGCCCCGCAAGGGGAGCGGCAGACGGGAGAGUAACACGUGGGAACAUACCUUUUGGUUCGGAACGACUGAGGGAAACUUCAGCUAAUACCGGAUAAGCCCUUACGGGGAAAGAUUUAUCGCCGAAAGAUUGGCCCGCGUCUGAUUAGCUAGUUGGUGAGGUAACGGCUCACCAAGGCGACGAUCAGUAGCUGGUCUGAGAGGAUGAUCAGCCUCACUGGGACUGAGACACGGCCCAGACUCCUACGGGAGGCAGCAGUGGGGAAUAUUGGACAAUGGGGGCAACCCUGAUCCAGCCAUGCCGCGUGAGUGAUGAAGGCCUUAGGGUUGUAAAGCUCUUUUGCCCGGGAAGAUAAUGACGGUACCGGGAGAAUAAGCCCCGGCUAACUUCAUG